GGGCAUAUGAGGUAGCUUGGAUAUCCUACUAGCCUCCGGAGCUAGUUACUCGGGUUCAAAUCCCGAUAUGCCCG
rnacentral:tRNA from 1 species